AAGAGAUCGGGAUAACACCUAGGAAACAGAUGCUAAUACCGGAUAACAACAGAUGGUGCCUAUCAACUGUUUAAAAGAUGGUUCUGCUAUCACUCUUGGAUGGACCUGCGGUGCAUUAGCUAGUUGGUAGGGUAACGGCCUACCAAGGCGAUGAUGCAUAGCCGAGUUGAGAGACUGAUCGGCCACAUUGGGACUGAGACACGGCCCAAACUCCUACGGGAGGCAGCAGUC
rnacentral:rRNA from 1 species